GGAGGAUCCAAGCGUUAUCCGGAAUCAUUGGGUUUAAAGGGUCCGUAGGCGGUCUUGUAAGUCAGUGGUGAAAGCCCAUCGCUCAACGGUGGAACGGCCAUUGAUACUGCAGGACUUGAAUUACUGGGAAGCAACUAGAAUAUGUAGCGUAGCGGUGAAAUGCUUAGAGAUUACAUGGAAUACCAAUUGCGAAGGCAGGUUGCUACCAGUGGAUUGACGCUGAUGGACGAAAGCGUGGGUAGCGAACAGGAUUAGAUACCCUGGUAGUCCACGCCGUAAACGAUGGAUACUAGCUGUUGGGCGCAAGUUCAGUGGCUAAGCGAAAGUGAUAAGUAUCCCACCUGGGGAGUACGAACGCAAGUUUG
rnacentral:rRNA from 1 species